rnacentral:rRNA from 1 species
GACGAACGCUGGCGGCGUGCCUAAUACAUGCAAGUCGAACGCAUUUUCUUUCACCGUAGCUUGCUACACCGAAAGAAAAUGCGUGGCGAACGGGUGAGUAACACGUGGGUAACCUGCCCAUCAGCGGGGGAUAACACUUGGAAACAGGUGCUAAUACCGCAUAAUUCCAUUUACCGCAUGGUAAAUGGAUGAAAGGCGCUUUUGCGUCACUGAUGGAUGGACCCGCGGUGCAUUAGCUAGUUGGUGGGGUAACGGCCUACCAAGGCUGCGAUGCAUAGCCGACCUGAGAGGGUGAUCGGCCACACUGGGACUGAGACACGGCCCAGACUCCUACGGGAGGCAGCAGUAGGGAAUCUUCGGCAAUGGACGCAAGUCUGACCGAGCAACGCCGCGUGAGUGAAGAAGGUUUUCGGAUCGUAAAACUCUGUUGUUAGAGAAGAACAAGGAUGAGAGUGGAAAGUUCAUCCCUUGACGGUAUCUAACCAGAAAGCCACGGCUAACUACGUG